rnacentral:lncRNA from 1 species
ACUGGGAUGCGCUUACUGCUGCGCUGCUGCUCGGUCAGCCAGCGUCUGGGAUGGGAGCGCUCCUGCAUUUUACAUGACUGCGGGGCCUGUUCCUUGCGCCUGUCUGGUCGCGUCACAUCAUGGAGGGUUUCUCGGGGCGGCCGGCCGCCUCUGAGCACAGCCAGGGUGGUGUUUGCAGCACAGCUGCUGCCUAGGCCUCGCUGCGGAGGUGCUGGGCCACGGCCCCGUGGAGGCAGAGCCGCAGGGCCAUCGACAUGUCCUUUGAAAACGGGCAUUUCCCCAACUCAUGCAGGUGGAGGGGAGAGCGAAGCCAAAUGGGACACCGGCCCCCACACACUGCCCCGGCUCCUGCAUUUCCGGAGAUGGAAACCUGGAGAGCAGCUGGGCCUGCAGCGCUGGCCCCAGCCUGGCCGAGCGAGCAUUUGUUCACCCAAGACCUUUCCCCUCCUGCCCUCGUGGAGCCUCCACAAGGAGUAAACAACCACUUCGGGUCCCUCAAAGCAUCAACUCUGUGCCUUGCAGACAGCGGACACGUAACACAGCCACGCGGCGUGAACAUGAGCAGACUUCUUUUUUCCAGGAUGUGCACGGUUUCCACGACAAUGCCCACUGCACGCCUUAUGGCCUCACCAGAGACGUAAAGCAGAUGCCAAGAAACUUCCCCCCAAAAUGGGCUGGCUUGCCAAGCCCAGGACCGCCUGUCCAGCUGGGGCUGGGGGCAAGGAUCCCAUUUUCUGUGACUCUCUUUGCUCUGAUGGUCAGGUUCACCGGCCGUACGUGUAAUCUGAAGCAUUCGGUAGCGAUCUAAUUAAAUGUUAACACAUCAUUAAAGUGAUUUGCGAUAAGCA